rnacentral:rRNA from 1 species
AAUCAACGCUGGCGGCGUGCCUCAGACAUGCAAGUCGAACGCGAAAGUUUCCUUCGGGAGACGAGUAGAGUGGCGCACGGGUGAGUAACACGUAGGUAAUCUACCUUCGGGUGGGGAAUAACCCAGGGAAACUUGGGCUAACACCGCAUAAUGCAGCGGCACCACAUGGUGACAGUUGUUAAAGCGGGGGCUUUUCGGACCUCGCGCCUGGAGAGGAGCCUGCGGCGGAUUAGCUAG